rnacentral:rRNA from 1 species
GGCCCAGACUCCUACGGGAGGCAGCAGUGGGGAAUAUUGCACAAUGGGCGCAAGCCUGAUGCAGCCAUGCCGCGUGUAUGAAGAAGGCCUUCGGGUUGUAAAGUACUUUCAGCGGGGAGGAAGGCGAUAAGGUUAAUAACCUUGUCGAUUGACGUUACCCGCAGAAGACGCACCGGCUAACUCCGUGCCAGCAGCCGCGGUAAUACGGAGGGUGCAAGCGUUAAUCGGAAUUACUGGGCGUAAAGCGCACGCAGGCGGUCGGGCAAGUCGGAUGUGAAAUCCCCGGGCGCAACCUGGGAACUGCAUUCGAAACUGGCAGGCUGGAGUCUUGUAGAGGGGGGUAGAAGUCCAGGUGUAGCGGUGAAAUGCGUAGAGAUCUGGAGGAAUACCGGUGGCGAAGGCGGCCCCCUGGACAAAGACUGACGCUCAGGUGCGAAAGCGUGGGGAGCAAACAAGAUUAGAUACCCUCGUAACU